GCAGCGCACAGGAUUUCUGAAAAGACCCAACGAACUACAAACAUGUUUCUUCUACGGUGUUUUUCCUGGAAAAAGAAAACAACAGACAAAACUGUUGUGGCAGAUGAGAAGAAGCUUAACAACUCUCAGAAAUGCCAAAACAAGUCAGACACCCAACAUCCAAAGGCCAAGAAGAAGACGUCAAAACCAAGAUGGAUUUGGCCUUUU